ensembl:lncRNA
AAUUCCUUGGGUUCCCUCUUCCUUCUAGAUGCUGCUGUUGUUCUUGACACUUGCCCUCUUUGGAGGCUCAAUCAAUGGAUUGUUUCAGCAGCACCAUCAGCAGCAACAGCAACAACAACAGCAACAGCAGGUCCAACAACAGCAGGUCCAACAACAGCAUCAAAGUCCCACUAUUGGGUCACAACGACAACCAGGCUACAAAUUUUUAAUUUAUACUGAGGGGGAACCAAUCUCUGCAAUCCGGGCCCAUUUUGGAACAUCAGGUGACUUGACUAGUAUACAGAUCCGUGUGGGAACUUCAUGGAGCCAAAUAUUUGGCAACCCCGAGGGCUCUCCCCGGGAAAUCCUCUUGAAGAAAGAUGAGUUCAUCCGCGAAGUGACUGGCAGUAAUGACAAAUCAGGGUGCAUCCAUUAUAUCAGCUUUCAUACAAACCAAGGCAGGAUUCUUAAGUUUGGCAAAGCUGGCAAGAAUAUUUUCAAGGAAUUCCCCAGUACAGAUCGGCCUGUAUUGAAUUCAGUGAGUGGAGAGUAUCGGUCAGGAUGCAUAGCAGGUCUUUCAUUUAACUGGGAAGCCAUAAAGCCAGUACAUGUCUCUACUACUCAAAGGCCAGCACAUGUCAUUAAGCCUACUACUGAAAAGCCAGCACAUGUUGCUAAUCCUACUACUCAAAAGCCAGCACAUGUUGCUAAACCUACUACUCAAAAGCCAGCACAUGUUGCUAAACCUACUACUCAAGAGUCAGUUAAGCCAUUCGUUAAGGGAUAUGAUCCACAAAGAAAUUAAGGGGCAGUCAUUCAGUCAACUACUUAGCCACAGGUAUCUAAUCAAUCCAACUCAUUGGACAGGUAUCCAAAGGACAAAUUUUCAGAGCCCAAGCUAGAGCCAAAAAGUGGUAAAAAUUCAAACAAUAGCCAUGAUUUUUUCCCCCUUACACCCACCACCCUAGGAUAGAGGGAGAUAGCAUUGAUAAUUCAAAUUAUCUCUGCCAUGGUUAUAGACCUGAUACUUUAAAUAGGACCUGGCUGUAAUGGUCACCCUUCAUCAUACCCUGCAGCUAGCUGCAAUCAUGAUUCCCCAAAUUCUCUAGGUGUUUUCACAACCUUGACUCAGCAUAAUCUCCAGAGAAAAUCAAUGACCCAUCAAAGAAUUCAGUGAAAGUCCCUGUAUCCUGAAUCAAGCCAAUCAUUUAGGCAGAGAUUAAACAUAUCAGAUAAUGUAUACACUUCUCAGAGAAUUAGACUGAAAAACCUAUUUCCAGGGAUUGGAUUAGAUACGAUUGGACUGAGGAAGUAGACAAGGAAGAAAAAGUUCAAAGGAAAAAAUUAUGAAACUGAUUUUUGUUUAUAAAAUAUAUAAAAGAAGAUGUUUAGGUAUAUGAUUUAGGUGGAAGGACAUAGAAUAUAAUGUUGCCGAGAAGAGCUAAAACCCUUUUGAUUAAAAAAAAUAAUUAUAUUCUCAAUCUCUUAAUAAAGCUUUUGCAAAACCAUGA